UAAACUUUGACCAAAGGAUAUCAGAACAAGUUCACAAAUAAAACAGAUUUAUGAUACCUCGUGUAAGGAAUUUCAAAGACACAGAAAUUAGUUUGAACUCCUGGAAAGAGAUCGGGGAUUUGUGAUAAUUUGUCAAAUCCGUCACAAUUGAUAUAUAACAGGCCCAAAAUGUGGUUUCUAAAAUCUGAUUAUAUUUGGCUGUUUUCACUGCAUAACAUUUAGAAGUUGUCCUAUUUCAGUUUUAGAAAAACGAACUCAUUCGUAUCAGCAUACAGAAAUCGAAAGUGCUAAUCAAAGUAGUUUUUACCCGUAAUGCAGUUGAUUGAUGAGGAUGACAUGAACGUAUUGGGGUUGACAGAUUCUGACCCCAACAUCGUGUGGAAUACACAUAUAAACAAUAGCCUAAAUGUAGAAUAAUUUUGCUGUGGAACAAUGAGGAGAUUCGUGGGGGGAAACGGUGCAGUCGUUUUACAUCAUGCUAUCUUGGCUGAGCUCCUGUGUCAAGCACUGGAAAACGGACUCCAACAUCUCAGAAGAGGAGGAGUAGCGAGAAGGAUCGGAGGACCAAUGCGCAGAGUGGUAGUUGGAUAGCUCCAGGUUCUUGCAGAGGAGGUAGCAGAAAUGAGAGACUGAGAACGCGUGCAUCCAGUUGUGAUAUGGAGGGUCCCUGUAGCCUCUCUUCACCAUCAGACAAAACCUGGCCAGCGUGUUCAUGUUGAUCUUGGAGCGAGGUGUGUAGGUGAAGCUGGAGAAGCUGGGGUGUAUUUCCCCUACAGCCUGGAUGCCCACAGUCAGUAGCCGGGUCACUUCCUCGUCUGACACCUGAGAGACCGGGUCAAAGGUCAGGACAUUAACUGCCAAAUAUAACAAAAUGGCUGGAUCUACAUUCGUAGAUUGAAGAGAUAAGUUGAAUAGGUUGAAGAAGAGCUCUGAUUGGAUGCUUUACCAUCAUGUGGUACUUCAUCAUCUCAUUGGCCAGCUGACUCCUAAACUGUGCUUCAUCAACCCUCUUAUACAGGAGGGACUAAGGAGGAACAGAAAGCACAGGAGUCAUUCAGCAUGAUGACAAUAUUGUUGAUGACAAAUUAUUGUUAAACUAUUUAUCAAUAUCCACAGUAAGGAUGAUAACUUUAACUUUUUGGCAUUUAUUAUUGUUCUAAUUCAAGUGAACAGGAGCAUUCAUAGUACAACGACAACUACAAAAAGAGUGGGGAACGAUUACAAGAGCUAUCGUUUGGAUCACUUUCAAAGCGAUUUCUUUUCCAUAUCCCUUUGAUGAUAAAAAAUUGACAACCAAUCGAAAAAGCAUUCUCUUGAAGUUUUCUUGGUUCUAGGUGCGCGAGGCUGCUCGGGGAAGAGAGACGGCUGAGUGCAUGGUAAGCUUGCCUGAAUAACUGGGCAUGUGUGAGCAUAUUGGUGGCCACAUUAAUUAUAGGACGACUUGGGAGAAUGAUGAUCCACGACAAACAGCGCAUGAGAAGGUCAUAUUUUACAAGUUUGUACCAUAUUUUACAAUACAUUCUGACAAAAUACACACUAUGACUGGCCUGCUAAUAUGCCUUUCUGGACCUUGUAAACGGUUGAGAAUAGACCAAUAACUAAUCGAAAGGGUUGCAUAAUCAAUGACAUGGUGUAAAAGAUGUGCAGGCUAAACAGCGUUUGUUGUUGAAUUACUACAUUUAAAUAUGAGUUUCAAUAUUACAUGUGCAUCACCAUUCAAAAGUUUGGAGUCACUUACAAAUUCCCUUGUUUUUGAAAGAAAAGCACAUUUUUUUUCCAUUAAAAUAACACAAAUUUGAUCAGACUAUUGAUCAGACUAAUGACUAUUGUAGCUGGAAACGGCUGAUUUUUAAUGAGGCCCAUUAUCAGCAACCAUCACUCCUGUGUUCCAAUGGCACGUUGUGUUAGCUAAUCCAAGUUGAUAAUUUUAAAAAGCUAAUUAAUCAUUAGAGAACCAUUUUGCAAA